CGCGGCCUAUCAGCUUGUUGGUGAGGUAAUGGCUCACCAAGGCGACGACGGGUAGCCGGCCUGAGAGGGUGACCGGCCACACUGGGACUGAGACACGGCCCAGACUCCUACGGGAGGCAGCAGUGGGGAAUAUUGCACAAUAGGCGAAAGCCUGAUGCAGCGACGCCGCGUGAGGGACGACGGCCUUCGGGUUGUAAACCUCUUUUAGCAGGGAAGAAGCGAGAGUGACGGUACCUGCAGAAAAAGCGCCGGCUAACUACGUGCCAGCAGCCGCGGUAAUACGUAGGGCGCAAGCGUUAUCCGGAAUUAUUGGGCGUAAAGAGCUCGUAGGCGGUUUGUCGCGUCUGCUGUGAAAUCCCGAGGCUCAACCUCGGGCCUGCAGUGGGUACGGGCAGACUAGAGUGCGGUAGGGGAGAUUGGAAUUCCUGGUGUAGCGGUGGAAUGCGCAGAUAUCAGGAGGAACACCGAUGGCGAAGGCAGAUCUCUGGGCCGUAACUGACGCUGAGGAGCGAAAGGGUGGGGAGCAAACAGGCUUAGAUACCCUGGUAGUCCACCCCGUAAACGUUGGGAACUAGUUGUGGGGUCCAUUCCACGGAUUCCGUGACGCAGCUAACGCAUUAAGUUCCCCGCCUGGGGAGUACGG
rnacentral:rRNA from 1 species